rnacentral:sRNA from 1 species
GCCAGGUGUGGUGGUACACACCUGUAAUCCCAGCAGCUUGGGAGGCUGAGGCAGGAGGAUCACUAGUUCAAAGCCAGCCUCAGCAAUGGCAAGAACUAAACAACUCAGUUAGAUCCUAUCUCUA